CUUGAGAUGAGAGCAGAUGUCUGUCGCUGUUCCAGGAGAUUCAGUGCUCAGAAUUUAAUAUAAAAGACGACUGAGAGAAAAGCAGAUCGUGUCUGAGAGUGAUAUCUUCAAAGGUGUACCAUCGGGAGUUUUCCUGCUUCAUAUGUAUAUUGAAUGAGUUUCCUUGGCCAGGUUUUUUUUUCCUACUUUGUUUGGUUCCAUGUGAUGUUCUGUUGACGUUCAGCUGCUGAACGUGGUCUGCUCUGGAUGUGAAUCGUGUGAAGUGUGAACCCUUCCUGGAUUGUGACCUGUCUCAACUCUCUCCUGUGUCUGUAACGGUGGAGUUGGACUGGCGACCCGCCCAUUAACUGAACCCUGUAAACAUUCCUGUUUUGAAAGAACACCGUAAUUGAACUUGUACAUCUUCAAAUGGUAGGAGUGAAAUUUCGUAUCACACUUAUUUCGGCAUAGACUUUAGAGACUUCAGAUUUCAUCGAUUCCUGGACUGAAUUUGUGAACUGAUUUUUUUUUAUUUAUUUUUUUUAUCACUUACUUUUUCCUCAAAGAAUCAUUCUGAGUGUUCAUCACGAGCAUUGGACUCUUGAUCAAUUUUGAAGUGUUCAGACUGAAUGUAAUUUUGUUUUGAGUUUUUUCAGAGGUUGUUAUGAGUAAAUGUUCAAAGUAUUGAAUAACUAAACUAAGAACAAAUUUAAGAACAAAACCGUUAAAGAAGGGAAAAUAUUGAUUACAUUCUUGAUGAUGAAUAUCUUUAAGAAUUAACUUGGUGAAUUUGCUAUCAACAAAGAAAAGAAAAACAGAAGGGAUGAGUGAUAUUACCAUAAAACCUGUAAGGAAAGAAAACGGUACAAAUCGUUACUAUUGAAUGUAAACUAAACUGAGGUCAUUGUACACUGCAUAUUAUAUUUUUUUUAAUUAUUUUUGUGGUCCUUGUUAAAAUAUAAUCUCUUCUUAUUCUUACCUCAAACCCCGUGUCUGAGUUGAUCACUACUGUCGCACCAUCUCUCUCCUCGGACGAAUCUAAACCGCUGAGCUUACUGGUCCAUUGAUAAAAUAACUUGCAAGAUAUUCGGGUGUCACGGGUUACAUCUUCAUUCACUGCUACGAACUGAUGGCGGUCAGAUAAGUACGAUUUGAACCAUGCUAAGGCACUUCCACUAAUGCCAACAAAGUAUUCUAGUCUAUUCAAAAGACUAUUCUGUCAAACGCAGUGCUAAGAUCCAGUAGAACUAAUAAAGAGAUACA